GUGGGUAUAGUUCAGUGGCAGAGCACAUACUUAGCAUGCACGAAGUCCUGGGUUCAAUCCCCAGUACCUCCA
rnacentral:tRNA from 1 species